rnacentral:rRNA from 1 species
AGUGAACGCUGGCGGCAUGCCUAACACAUGCAAGUCGAACGGCAGCACAGUAAGUGCUUGCUCUUACGGGUGGCGAGUGGCGGACGGGUGAGGAAUAUAUCGGAAUCUACUUUUUCGUGGGGGAUAACGUAGGGAAACUUACGCUAAUACCGCAGACGACCUUCGGGUGAAAGCAGGGGAUCUUCGGACCUGGAGCGAUUGAAUGAGCCGCUGUCGGAUUAUCUAGUUGGCGGGGUAAAGGCCCACCAAGGCGCCGAUCCGUAGCUGGUCUGAGAGGAGGAUCAGCCCCACUGGAACUGAGACACGGUCCAGACUCCUACGGGAGGCAGCAGUGGGGAAUAUUGGCCAAUGGGCGCAAGCCUGCUCCAGCCCUACCGCGUGGGUGAAGAAGGCCUUCGGGUUGUAAAGCCCUUUUGUUGGGAAAGAAAAGCAGCAGGUUAAUACCCCGCUGUUCUGACGGUACCCAAACAAUAAGCACCGGCUAACUUCGUG